CGGGGCAUAGUAUACCGGCAGUACGCACGCUUCGGGUGCGUGAAGACUGGGUUCAAUUCCCAGUGCCCCGAC
rnacentral:tRNA from 1 species